GAUGAACGCUGACAGAAUGCUUAACACAUGCAAGUCUUUGGCGAAGCUGUGCUUGCACAGCCUAGCCAAGGCGGACGGGUGAGUAACGCGUAAGGAACUUGCCCUGCAGUCAGGGAUAACAGACGGAAACGACUGAUAAGACCUGGUAAAGUCAGGCGGACUCAUGUCCAGCCUGAUGAAAAGAGAUGCUGCAGGAGAGCCUUGCGUCCUAUUAGCUUGUUGGUGGGGUAACGGCCCACCAAGGCGAUGAUAGGUAGCCGGCCUGAAAGGGUGGACGGCCACAAGGGGACUGAGAUACGGCCCUUACUCCUACGGGAGGCAGCAGUGGGGAAUAUUGGACAAUGGGGGCAACCCUGAUCCAGCAAUUCUGUGUGCACGAUGAAGGUUUUCGGAUUGUAAAGUGCUUUCAGCAGGGAAGAAAAAAAUGACGGUACCUGCAGAAGAAGCGACGGCUAAAUACGUG
rnacentral:rRNA from 1 species